rnacentral:lncRNA from 1 species
UCGUCGCAGACAUGGAGUCAGACUGACUUGGGAUCAAUUUAUACAUGACUUUCGCCAGGAAUAUUUGUCAGAAAGUUACAGAAAAGGAAAACAGGAUGCCUUUUUCAGGUUGUUUCAGGGAAGCCUCUCAAUAAGAGAGUAUGUUGACAAGUUUGAAGAUCUUUAUUGCUUUGUUUCAGAUAUAUUGCCUUCUGAGGAAGCAAAAUGUGACAGAUUCAGACAGGGCCUACAUGUUAAUAUCAGAUCAUCUAUGACCUGGUUCAGAGGUAAUAACUUCAGAGAGUUGGUGGAAGCAGCUUUGAAUGUUGAAAAAGUUAAGCAAGAAGAGAAAGAGUAUGAACAGAAGAUGAGUAGAAAGCAUUUGCAGGGCUCACAGGGGUUCAGAGAAAGACCAGCUAAGAGAGGGAGCAGUUCAUUUCAGCCCCAAGCUGGAUACAGUGAUAGUGGUAGAGGUUCCUUUGUUAACACAGAGCAGCAGGUUGCUCGACCACAAUCUAGUCAGAGCUCAGUAGCACAACCAGUGGGUAGUUCCUUUGGGACACAGAAACGUGGACAAGGACAAGGAUAUGAUUCUGGGUUUGAACAAAGGAAGAGACAUUUUCCUCAAUGUGCCACCUGUGGUAAACAUCAUGCUGGGGAGUGCAGAAAAUUCGAUAGGGGUUGUUUUGAAUGUGGUUCUUCGGGCCAUUUUAAGAGAGAUUGUCCAUUGUUGAUAGCCAGAGACAGUGGUUCUCAGCAAGGAUCAAUGGCGCCUCAGAAUCUAAGGUAUGGUAUGACACCAUCACAGGGAGUACCUACGGCACAAGUGGGGCCUGGCACAAGCAGAGCCAGUGGAGCUACUUCAUCUUCUCAGUCUAGACCAACGAUGCAACCUGGCAGACCUCGCACUCAGGCCAGAGUUUUUGCUGUAACACAGCAGGAGGCACGAGCAUCUCCAGAGGUGGUGACUGGUAUGUUAACUAUUUUUUAUAAAGAUGCACACAUUCUCAUAGAUCCUGGUUCCACUCACUCUUUCAUAUCUCAAUCCUUCUCUAAACAUGCUGAUAGAGAAUUAAAACCUUUAGAUUGUGGAUUAGCUGUGAGUACUCCAGUUGGGGAUUCUGUUGUAUGUGAAUAUGUGUAUAGGGAUUGUGUUGUUAAGUUGGGCGACCAUGGGUUGUUAGUGGAUCUGAUUCCUUUGUGUUUACAAGAUCUGGAUGUCAUCCUAGGUACGGACUGGUUAUCUCGUCAUCAUGCUACAAUAGAUUGCUUUGAGAAAUCAGUGAUAUUUAAUAGUCUAGAAGGAUCCAAGUUCACUUUCUUUGGGGAGAGGCAUUUACUUCCUUCCUAUGUGAUUUCUUCCAUGACUACUAGGAAGUUGCUUCGGAAGGGUUGUCAAGCAUACUUAGCCUAUAUGAUGGACAGUAGUCGGGAAGGACCUAAAUUGGAAGAUAUACCAGUAGUAAGCGAGUUUCCUGAUGUAUUUCCUGAAGAGCUUCCUAGGUUGCCUCCAGAUAGAGAGAUUGAAUUCUCUAUUGAUUUAAAUCCAGGUACAGCUCCUAUUUCCAUGGCACCAUACAGAAUGGCUCCAGCAGAAUUGAAGGAGUUAAAAGCACAAUUGCAGGAGCUACUUGAUAAAGGUUUCAUAAGACCCAGUGUUUCACCUUGGGGAGCCCCUGUGUUAUUUGUGAAGAAGAAGGAUGGUUCCUUAAGGUUGUGUAUUGAUUACAGACGAUUGAAUCGAGUCACAGUGCGAAAUAAGUAUCCUUUACCCCGCAUUGAUGAUCUUUUUUAUCAGCUCCAAGGUGCUAAAGUAUUCUCUAAGAUUGAUUUGCGGUCUGGGUAUCACCAAUUGAAGAUCAAGGAGUCUGAAAUACCCAAGACAGCCUUCAGAACUCGUUACGGGCAUUAUGAGUUUCUCGUUAUGCCUUUCGGGUUAACUAAUGCACCCGCUGCUUUUAUGGAUCUCAUGAAUAGGGUGUUCAAGCCCUACUUGGAUAGCUUUGUUAUUGUGUUUAUUGAUGACAUCUUAGUAUAUUCCCGUAGCAAGGAAGAGCAUGAGAAGCAUUUACGGAUAGUACUGCAGAUUUUGAGAGAUAAACAACUAUAUGCUAAAUUGAGCAAAUGUGAGUUCUGGCUUGAUCGGGUGGUUUUCUUGGGACAUGUUAUCUCAGCAGAUGGAGUUUUGGUUGAUCCUAAGAAGAUUGAAGCAGUAGUCAAUUGGGAUCCUCCAACUAAUGUUACAGAGGUUAGAAGUUUUCUGGGCUUAGCAGGGUAUUAUCGUCGUUUUGUUCAGGAUUUCUCCAUCAUUGCAGCACCAUUGACUAAACUCCUUCGAAAGAAUGCAAAGUUUGAAUGGACAUAUGAAUGUCAAGAGAGUUUUGAGAGGCUUAAAACGUGUCUCACAUCAGCUCCAGUUCUUACCUUACCCUCAGGUACAGAUGGAUUUGCGGUGUAUAGUGAUGCUUCUCACAAGGGUUUAGGCUGUGUACUCAUGCAACAUGGGAAGGUGAUAGCUUAUGCUUCUAGACAGCUUAGACCACAUGAAUUAUAUUAUCCCACCCAUGAUCUGGAAUUAGCUGCAGUUGUGUUUGCAUUAAAGACAUUGAG